GCCUUAGUAGCUCAGUUGGUUAGAGCGCACUCCUCAUAAGGGUCGAGGUCACUGGUUCAAGUCCAGUCUAAGGCACCA
rnacentral:tRNA from 1 species